UACGUAGGGUGCAGGCGUUAAUCGGAAUUACUGGGCGUAAAGCGCACGUAGGCGGCUUUGUAAGUCAGAGGUGAAAGCCUGGAGCUCAACUCCAGAACUGCCUUUGAGACUGCAUCGCUUGAAUCCAGGAGAGGUGAGUGGAAUUCCGAGUGUAGAGGUGAAAUUCGUAGAUAUUCGCAAGAACACCAGUGGCGAAGGCGGCUCACUGGCCCGAUACUGACGCUGAGGCACGAAAGCGUGGGGAGCAAACAGG
rnacentral:rRNA from 1 species